GAAAUCUUACUAACAAAUUAAAGAAUAGGUGUGAACUUAAAACUAUUAAGAAAAUUGUGGUAGUAAAUACAAAAUUGUUAUCUCCAACACAAAUAGGCAAAGCAUUCAGAGAAUAUUACAAGAAAUUGUAUAAUCUGAACCCCAUCGUCCCCUCUAUUCUGGAAAUUGUUGGUAAGUUAAAAUGAUCUAAAAUUUCUGAAGAAAAACCGAUUCAGCUAAACAGUCCCUUCCCUUUACAAGAGAUCAGCGACAACAUUCGAGCACUAAAGUCUGGCAAAUCUCUGGGUCUGGAUGGGUUCUCAUCACUUUUUUUUUUAUCAGAAGCUUAACGAUUUGAUUUCACCCUUUUUGUUGAGGACUUUCCUAGAGAUAGCAAUAUAUAAA